rnacentral:rRNA from 1 species
GAUUAAGUUAUUAAGGGCGCACGGUGGAUGCCUUGGCACUAGAAGCCGAUGAAGGACGUUACUAACAACGAUAUGCUUUGGGGAGCUGUAAGUAAGCUUUGAUCCAGAGAUUUCCGAAUGGGGAAACCCAGCAUGAGUUAUGUCAUGUUAUCGAUAUGUGAAUAC